AACUUAUCAGAGAAGUCUUGAAUCACAUUUAUGCUCUGUUUCAUUUCACAGACUGGGCCAGAUGAGGUAGGUUCAUGGAGCACCACUGGGGUAAGUGCUGCCAUGGAGGACAUCACCAGGUGCGUAUUUGGAUUCUCUUUUAAUUUACUAGACAGACCAUGUGUGUGCUGUGUGUGGAGAGGAAAUCUCCUCUCCUCUCAGUCCUCCACUGGUGUUGAAGAAUAGAAAAACUAUAGUAUCUUGAACCAUCUAUCUGAACCUAGGAGCAUGUAGACACUCCCCCCUCCCAUGUGCAGGGCAUCAUACAGAAAGAGGAGAAAAUGGACAAUAUAUUAAAUAACUUAAAAUUUCUCACAAUGGUCAAUUUCAGAUAAGCAAAAGCAGUAGCAAAUGGAAAUUCUGAGACAGGACCGGUCAGCCUGACUUGCAACAACCUCCCCAUAUCACCUGACCUGGCUGUUGUCAAGACACUUUUUGGGAAGUCACCAUUCUUCUAGUGUGGAAAACUCCAUAUAUUCUCCACUUACAUCUGCAGUCCUUCUGGGUGAAGAGAAAAUUCAAACUCUUGACCCAAGAUACGUAGCAUGGCUAUGUAUUCAUCGCUGUUUGAAUAAGCAUGUCAGGAGUUUCAUGACACAAAGUUUCUUCAAAGGGAAGGAACUAUGGUUAGCAUAACAUCUGGCAGUGUUGACGUAACCUAAUGUUUAAUUCACAUCAUCUGUUGCCAGUCAGAGACACUCAGAGAUGCAGCAUUUUAAAAUAUAAUUGUUCUAAACUCUGGGCACAAAAUUUCACACUGAAGAUUUGGGGGAAGUUCCGUUUUCUGCUGUGCACAUGUGACACAUCAUCCUUCUGGCUCAAACUGAAUGUCAGCGGUGUAUGAUUUGGCUGAACAUCAUAUCAUGUUCCCUGAUAGACAUCUGUGACUUUUUCACCUAGGAAGAUAAAUGGAAAAAGGUGAAAGUAUCUUGUCUGAUUUUAGCCAGUCAUUAAAACACUCAUGAGAUAUAAGAGCCUUUCCAUUGAUGCCUUGGGGAGGCCACCUAGAACAGAGGCUAGACAAAGUUAAGAGAAUAAAGUGGGUAUUUAUUAAAUACCUUCA
rnacentral:lncRNA from 1 species